GCUUUUUUUUGUAAAAAAUUUAUUUUACGAGUUCUGGCAUUUUCAGUUUUUUGGAAUUUUCUGCCAAACGAUACUUAUUUUGGGAAAUUUUUUUUUUCAAAAAAUAACUUCAUCCUUUACCUUUCAUAUGCCAUAUAACCGAAAUUUUCGUAAGCCAUACAGGGCGAGCAAUAAUGAACUUUACCCAUGAAGGUCCGACCCGAAAAUCACAUUUUAUUUAAUAACUUUUUCGUAGUGGCACCUGGACCAUUUAUAUUCUCAGGCAUUAAAUACUUUAAUAACCCCAUUAUUUAUGUAAAAUUACAAUCUUCCAACAUUAAUAGGUUCUGAGCAAUUCGAAUUUUCGCGUUUAAUUCAUUUGCCACGUCCCUGUACAUGGUGAAAAGAUCAGACAUCAUCUAAAAGAUCCGAAAUUUUGUUUUACAACACAUACUAAAAUUUCAGGGUUCCAGCGAUAGUACAAGUACCCGAAAAAUGCGAUUUUAUGAAAAAAGUCCAUUUUUUUGCGUUUUUGCAGGUAAUUGGAGGUGUCAACCUAAACUCUGAUGAAAUGGCUAGUGGGAACAAUACUUUGACGCAUGGUGGAUACAAAUUUUUUGCUCGUGACAGGUGGCCGGGACUUGGUUGGGUUUUUUGUAAAAUUAUGAAUGAAAAUGAACCGGAAACGAUCAGGGAAAGGAAGCACCGAAUCAGAAAAUGAAUGGGCUUUCCGAAUCUGUGCAUAUCAAUUGGGGAAAUUGUGUAUUGCGGCCAGGAAAAUUCGGCAAACAUUUUGACGUCUUCGAAAAAUGCCGUUUUUUUGAAAAGUCAGUGGUUUUAUACCGGGGUGAGACGAAAUGAAAUUUGCCCGAUUAUUUUAUUAAAAUUAUUCGAAUAUAUACACGGGUCAGUCGUAAUGAUCUAUUUAAUUUAAAAUAAAAAUUUAGAUAUUUUGUGAGUUUUUACUAUUUAGUUUAUUAUUAAUAUAUGUUAAUAAUUCUUAAA